GUUUGAGCUGCUGAAGCAUCAGAAACUCAAGGACCAGAAUAUCUUUGUCUCCCGAACCAGGCUCUGCCUGCACAAUCUCCCAAAGGCUGUAGAUGACAAACAGCUCAGAAAGCUGCUGCUGAGUGCUACUAGUGGAGAGAAAGGGGUGCGCAUCAAGGAGCAAAAAAUGAGAUCCAAGCCUGCAACUGGUGAGCCUCAGAAGGGGCAACCAGAGCCUGCAAAAGACCAGCAACAGAAGGCAGCUCAACACCACACAGAGGAACAAAGCAAGGUGCCCCCAGAGCAGAAGAGAAAGGCGGGCUCUACCUCAUGGACCGGGUUCCAGACCAAGGCUGAAGUGGAGCAGGUGGAGCUGCCUGAUGGAAAGAAGAGAAGAAAGGUCCUGGCUCUCCCCUCACACCGAGGCCCCAAAAUCAGGUUGCGGGACAAAGGCAAAGUGAAGCCCGUCCAUCCCAAAAAGCCAAAGCCACAGAUAAACCAGUGGAAGCAGGAGAAGCAGCAAUUAUCGUCCGAGCAGGUAUCUAGGAAAAAAGCUAAGGGAAAUAAGACGGAAACCCGCUUCAACCAGCUGGUCGAACAAUAUAAGCAGAAAUUAUUGGGACCUUCUAAAGGAGCACCUCUUGCAAAGAGGAGCAAAUGGUUUGACAGUUGAUGAUGCCAGCAGGCUGGGUAAGAAGCUGGGUUGUGUACUUUCUGGUGACACUCCUGGGCUCCUCCCCAUCCCCCGUGUCUCUCACUGAGGGAAAGAAAAUCCCCGAGGGCACUGCCACUGUGCUCGGAGGUGCCCUGGACUGUGUACAUCUGAACUUUGGUCCAUCCUUUGAUGUGUGGUUCAUUAGCCACAAAGAGAAAUAUCUGAAAGUCAACAUGAUGCUUCUUGCAUAUUAUCCAGAUUAUUGUAUGAAGUUGUGUCUAUAAUUAUUACCAAUUUUUAUUCUUUAUUUCUCAAAUGGAAACACCUGAAAAAGCAUUCUGGAGUGCUGAAUUUUUAAGAUGUAUAUUUUGUUAAGCAUAUUCUCUAAAUGAGAUAUUGUGUGGCUUUUUAGUAACAA
rnacentral:sRNA from 1 species